rnacentral:rRNA from 1 species
GAUGAACGCUGGCGGCGUGCCUAAUACAUGCAAGUCGAGCGAUCAGACUCGGAGUUUCUUCCUCUCACGUUAGCGGCGCACGGGUGUGUAACACGUGGAUACCCUACCUCUAAUACUGGUAUACCUUCGGGACUCCGUCGCUAAUCCCGUAUAAUAUAUCCAUCCGCAUGUUUCAAUAGUUAAAUUCGGUUUUGCUUUCACUUAUAGAUUGUUCCGCUCUGCAUUAGCUAGUUGGUAAGGUAACGGCUUACCAAGGCAGCGAUGGGUAGCCGAAGUGGGAGGGGGAUCGGCCACACUGGAGCUGAGACGGCGACAAGAGGACUAAGGGAGGGAGCAGAAGGGUAUGUGACGCAAUAGGGGGGAGCAUGACGGAACAACGGCGCGUGAGAGGUGAAGGUCUUCGGAGCGUAAAACUCGGUUAUGAGGGAAGAACAAAUGUGUAAGUAGCUGAGCACGUCUUGACGGUACCUGAUCAGGAAGCCACGGCUAACUACGUG